UACGUAGGGUGCGAGCGUUGUCCGGAAUUAUUGGGCGUAAAGAGCUCGUAGGCGGUUUGUCGCGUCUGCUGUGAAAUCUUAGGGCUUAACCCUGAGCUUGCAGUGGGUACGGGCAGACUAGAGUGCGGUAGGGGAGGCUGGAAUUCCUGGUGUAGCGGUGAAAUGCGCAGAUAUCAGGAGGAACACCGGUGGCGAAGGCGGGUCUCUGGGCCGUAACUGACGCUGAGGAGCGAAAGCAUGGGGAGCGAACAGG
rnacentral:rRNA from 1 species